UUAGUAAAACAGCGACGCAAUUUAAUCAAUCAAGUGCGUCGCAGUUUUAUUAAUCUGCGACGCAAAUGACUCUGAGAACAUCUUAGAGUCAUUUGCCUCGCAGUUUAAUAAAGCUGCGACGCACAGGUGUUUGUGAAUUUAAUUUUUUCUCAAAUUCGCGCUCACCUUUUAAUUGUUUUCUUCAAUAUUCUGACUUGCUCCAAAUGACCUAAAUCUAUCGAAACCAGUUAAGCCCAAAACAUCCGUUCUCACCGGCUUCACCCUUCCGUUUACCAGCUUCACUGCCGUCGUCUUCCCUCCUUCUGCGUCGUUCUCUCCUUCCCCUGCGCCGUUCAACUUGUUGUUCGUUCUCCUCUUCAACCUGCUGCUCGUUCUCUUCUUCCCCUGCGUCGUUCAACUCAAACUAAUCAGUGUCGCUGCUCCGUGUUAACGCCGCCUUCCACGGCAGCCGCCCACGCCGCCGCCCACUCCUCCGCUCCUGGUCACUGUCUUCUCUCCUCUCCUAGGUAAAGAGCUUCACUAUUAUUUUCUGUUAUGUUAAAUACUAGAUGUUGUUAAGGUCCCGUAAGGAUUUUCAUGUGGUUGCCACAGAAGCUGUUUGGUAAUAUGUGCUUGAAUAUUACGUAUACUACCUCCGUAGAUGCUGAAGAUAACAUACAAGAGUUGUUUGUGUUAGGUGUAGAAGCAAUCCCGGAUUGACAGAGGUUUCCUCUAGUUCUGUUGGCUUCUCCUUUUUGUGUUCUUGUUUUAUUUAUUUUCUUCAAAUUUUGUGAAGACUUAACAAAAGAUAGUUGUCGAACACUUGCAUAUCAUUGCAUUGAACAUGAUCGAACACUGUAAUUUUCAAUUGUUGUUGGUAAUUAGAUCACGAAACUGGUGAUUUGGCAAUUAGACAUGUAACCAAUGUAUAAAUUUCGUAGUUAUGAAGUGGACUCGGAGCAGUUGUCUUGGCAUAUGCUCCUUUUGGUGAUUAAAGUUUCUACACGACCUUUCUUUCUGUGGCAAUUUGGAAUUACUUAUUAGUUACAAUCGUUGUCAGAAACUCUGUGGAGUUGGAUGUUUUAAUAGUGAUUUAUCGCUUUUUAAAUUGGAGUUCACUCUUUGAAUAAUCUAUAAUAUGUAGACAGGGCACUGACGUGUCUCUGAAGGAUCUUGACUACCUUUUGUCUCUACUUGAGGAAAAGAAGAGAAAGAUGGCCGGAGCAAGAAGAAGCUAGGGUUUGAAGCCAGUAAACUCGCUAAGAAUACAAGGAAAUGGUUAAGAUUGAAGCCAGUAAACUCGCUAAGAAGCAUCCACGUGUCUUGCAGAUGGAAUGAGCUACUAGGACGGUGGUUGACUGGUACUUUCAUUCCGGCAGAAAUAUUAAAAGUACAAGAGGUUGUGUCAAUGAGAUCAAUCAGUAUAUUUCGCAACAUAAUCAGCUUUUGUUGGAUCACAUAACUGACCUUUGGAGCUCUCUGAUGCCCAGUUUGUGUUAUGUGAUGUUUACCAAGGCUUCAUGCGUAUCUUGUCCAACCCUAAACACUAUGGCAUCAAGGAAACAAGAGGAGCAUGUUGUGGAAUAGGGUGGCAUGGAGCAGCAUCGGGGUGCGACACCAUGGAGAUGGUUUGCAACCAAAGUACAGCUCAUGUAAUCCUUCUAAGGCCGUCAAUUAUCUGCUGGCCGACUCUGCCUGGUUCGGUCAUCCAUUGGGUGACAUCUUUCAUCCCUUGAGCGUCCGAGCACUGGUGAACAUAGCUUCAGCAGCAGCAGCAGCAGCAGGUGUUCUGGCAACAACAGUUAUCGAUUACAAGCUAGAAGCAGCAGCAGCAGUUCUGGCAGAAGUAGAAAGCAGCAAUUCUGGCAGCAGCCAGUUGAAACAAGAACAAAACCAAGCCAGCCUAAAGAGUGUUUAUUUUCACCAGUUGCUGGACUUUCUUGAAGUUCUCUGCCUUAACUGUGACUAUCACCGUUGGUAAUGCAUCCCAUCUUUGUAUUGAAAGUCAUAUCUUGAUUUGUCAUAGAUUUGAUUUCUAACAUCUUCCAUUUUUAUAUCCAGGAUAGAGAUAUUUACUUAAACUUUUAUGUUUAAAGUGUAGUUAGGUUAUCAACAUGUUGGUUGAUCUAUGGUGAAUUUGCCUUUUAUUGGGUUGUAAACUGUUUUGACAGGUAUAUAUUAAUGUAUUAUAACAUUCCCGGUAUUGGGGAGGGUCAAAUUACAAAGGAAAUAUUGUCAAAAUUUUCACCUAGUUUACUUUUAUUUUUAUGCUCUGAAUAUACUAGUACUGAAAGCUGCUUAUUUUAUUUAAUCUAUGGAUUAAAUAAAAUCAGCAGCUCAUUUUUUUUAGAAUAUCCAAAAGUCAUUUGCGUCGCACUUUAGCUAAUCUGCGACGCAAAUGACAUUUUUUUUAACAUAUUGAAAAGUCAUUU